UACAGAGGGUGCGAGCGUUAAUCGGAAUUACUGGGCGUAAAGCGCGCGUAGGCGGCUUUGCAAGUCGAGUGUGAAAUCCCCGAGCUUAACCUGGGAACUGCAUUCGAGACUGCAUAGCUAGAGUAUGGGAGAGGGAAGUGGAAUUUCAGGUGUAGCGGUGAAAUGCGUAGAUAUCUGAAGGAACAUCAGUGGCGAAAGCGACUUCCUGGACCAAUACUGACGCUCAUGUGCGAAAGCGUGGGGAGCAAACAGG
rnacentral:rRNA from 1 species